GACGAACGCUGGCGGCGUGCUUAACACAUGCAAGUCGAACGGAAAGGCCCUGCUUUUGUGGGGUGCUCGAGUGGCGAACGGGUGAGUAACACGUGAGUAACCUGCCCUUGACUUUGGGAUAACUUCAGGAAACUGGGGCUAAUACCGGAUAGGAGCUCCUGCUGCAUGGUGGGGGUUGGAAAGUUUCGGCGGUUGGGGAUGGACUCGCGGCUUAUCAGCUUGUUGGUGGGGUAGUGGCUUACCAAGGCUUUGAAGGGUAGCCGGCCUGGGAGGGUGACCGGCCACAUGGGGACUGAGAUACGGCCCAGACUCCUACGGGAGGCAGCAGUGGGGAAUAUUGCACAAUGGGCGGAAGCCUGAUGCAGAAACGCCGCGUGCGGGAUGACGGCCUUCGGGUUGUAAACCGCUUUCACCUGUGACGAAGCGUGAGUGACGGUAAUGGGUAAAGAAGCACCGGCUAACUACGUG
rnacentral:rRNA from 1 species